UACGUAGGGUCCGAGCGUUGUCCGGAAUUAUUGGGCGUAAAGAGCUCGUAGGCGGUUCGAUAAGUCGGGUGUGAAAACUCUGGGCUCAACUCAGAGACGCCACCCGAUACUGUUGUGACUUGAGUCCGGUAGGGGAGUAUGGAAUUCCCGGUGUAGCGGUGAAAUGCGCAGAUAUCGGGAGGAACACCAGUGGCGAAGGCGGUACUCUGGGCCGGAACUGACGCUGAGGAGCGAAAGCGUGGGUAGCGAACAGG
rnacentral:rRNA from 1 species